rnacentral:rRNA from 1 species
GAGUUUGAUCCUGGCUCAGGACGAACGCUGGCUGCGUGCUUAACACAUGCAAGUCGAACGCUGAAGCCUGCAGCUUGCUGUGGGCGGAUGAGUGGCGAACGGGUGAGUAACACGUGAGUAACCUGCCCCCGAUUUCGGGAUAAGCCCGGGAAACUGGGUCUAAUACCGGAUAUGACCAGAGGACGCAUGUUCUGUGGUGGAAAGUUUUUCGAUCGGGGAUGGGCUCGCGGCCUAUCAGCUUGUUGGUGGGGUAAUGGCCUACCAAGGCGACGACGGGUAGCCGGCCUGAGAGGGCGACCGGCCACACUGGGACUGAGACACGGCCCAGACUCCUACGGGAGGCAGCAGUGGGGAAUAUUGCACAAUGGGGGAAACCCUGAUGCAGCGACGCAGCGUGCGGGAUGAUGGCCUUCGAGUUGUAAACCGCUUUCAGCAGGGAAGAAGCGAAAGUGACGGUACCUGCAGAAGAAGUACCGGCUAACUACGUGCCAUCAGCCGCGGUAAUACGUAGGGUACGAGCGUUGUCCGGAAUUAUUGGGCGUAAAGAGCUCGUAGGUGGUUGGUCACGUCUGCUGUGGAAACGCAACGCUUAACGUUGCGCGG